rnacentral:rRNA from 1 species
UAUAACUAGAGCGUANGAGUGAGUAACACGUGAGUAACCUGCCCUUGACUCUGGGAUAACCUCCGGAAACGGAAGCUAAUACCGGAUAUGACGCACGGAGGCAUCUCCUGUGCGUGGAAAGAACUUCGGUCAAGGAUGGACUCGCGGCCUAUCAGGUAGUUGGUGAGGUAACGGCUCACCAAGCCUACGACGGGUAGCCGGCCUGAGAGGGUGACCGGCCACACUGGGACUGAGACACGGCCCAGACUCCUACGGGAGGCAGCAGUGGGGAAUAUUGCACAAUGGGCGCAAGCCUGAUGCAGCAACGCCGCGUGAGGGAUGACGGCCUUCGGGUUGUAAACCUCUUUUAG